rnacentral:SRP_RNA from 1 species
AUACGGGGCCCGCGCAGCGGAGCGCCGUGAACCAUGUCAGGCGGGGAACCGAGCAGCAUUAAGCGGAUGUCCCCGUGUGCCGCGGCAAACCCUGUAUAUC